CAGCCGCCGCGGUAAUACGUAGGGGGCGAGCGUUACACGGAUUCACUGGGCGUAAAGCGGGUGUAGGCGGCUCGGUAAGUCGGGUGUGAAAUCCCACAGCUCAACUGUGGAAUUGCGCCCGAAACUGCUGAGCUUGGGGCCGGUAGAGGGAGACGGAACUGCCGGUGUAGGGGUGAAAUCCGUAGAUAUCGGCAGGAACGCCGGUGGGGAAGCCGGUCUCCUGGGCCGCGCCCGACGCUGAGACCCGAAAGCUAGGGGAGCAAACCGGAUUAGAUACCCGGGUAGUCCUAGCCGUAAACGAUGCCCACUAGGUGUGGGGGAUUAAUUCCUCCGUGCUGUAGCUAACGCGUUAAGUGGGCCGCCUGGGGAGUACGCCCGCAAGGGUGAAACUUAAAGGAAUUGGCGGG
rnacentral:rRNA from 1 species